CAAUAGCGUAUAUUAAAGUUGUUGCAGUUAAAAAGCUCGUAGUUGGAUUUCUGGGAGGGUGCCAAUGUCCGCCGACGUGCGUGCGCAGCGGCGCCCUUCCAUCCUUCUGUUAACGCCUCUUGGCAUUCAUUUGCUGGUGGCGGGCUCAGAUAUUUUACCUUGAGAAAAUUAGAGUGUUUCAGGCAGGCUAGGCCGGAAUACAUUAGCAUGGAAUAAUGGAAUAGGACUACGGUCUCUUUGUUGGUUUGAGGGACUGCAGUAAUGAUUAAUAGGGAUAGUUGGGGGCAUUAGUAUUUAAUUGUCAGAGGUGGAAUUCUCGGAUUUGUUAAAGACUAACUUAUGCGAAAGCAUUUGCCAAGGAUGUUUUCAUUGA
rnacentral:rRNA from 1 species